AUUGAACGCUGGCGGCAGGCCUAACACAUGCAAGUCGAGCGAGCGGCGGACGGGUGAGUAAUGUGUGGGAAACUGCCUGAUGGGGGGGGGUAACUACUGGAAACGCUAGCUCAUACCCCAUACCAUCAGAUCUGCCCAGAUGGGAGUAGCUAGUAGGUGGGGGAAUGGCGCACCUAGGCGACGAUCCCUAGCUGGUCUGAGAGGAUGACCAGCCACACUGGAACUGAGACACGGUCCAGACUCCUACGGGAGGCAGCAGUGGGGAAUAUUGCACAAUGGGCGCAAGCCUGAUGCAGCCAUGCCGCGUGUGUGAAGAAGGCCUUCGGGUUGUAAAGCACUUUCAGCGGGGAGGCGUUACCCGCAGAAGAAGCACCGGCUAACUCCGUGCCAGCCGCCGCGGUAAUAC
rnacentral:rRNA from 1 species